rnacentral:rRNA from 1 species
UACGUAGGGUGCAAGCGUUAAUCGGAAUUACUGGGCGUAAAGCGUGCGCAGGCGGUGAUGUAAGACAGAUGUGAAAUCCCCGGGCUCAACCUGGGAACUGCAUUUGUGACUGCAUCGCUGGAGUGCGGCAGAGGGGGAUGGAAUUCCGCGUGUAGCAGUGAAAUGCGUAGAGAUGCGGAGGAACACCGAUGGCGAAGGCAGCCCCCUGGGCCAACACUGACGCUGAGUGAGCGAAAGCCAGGGGAGCAAACGGG